UACAGAGGGGGCAAGCGUUGUUCGGAAUUACUGGGCGUAAAGGGCGCGUAGGCGGCCUUCUAAGUCGAACGUGAAAUCCCAAGGCUUAACCUUGGAACUGCGUCGGAUACUGGAUGGCUUGAAUUCGGGAGAGGGAUGCAGAAUUCCAGGUGUAGCGGUGAAAUGCGUAGAUAUCUGGAGGAAUACCGGUGGCGAAGGCGGCAUCCUGGACCGACAUUGACGCUGAUGAGCGAAAGCUAGGGGAGCAAACGGG
rnacentral:rRNA from 1 species